AGUCACCGUGCACCUGCUCCCCAUUUAGGAACUCUGUCCUUACUCUGUUGUACUAUGUGAAUUAAUGGUAAAACUACUACUCAAACGUUGAUCCUGUCUUGCAGAGCCACAUACAAUUUCCAGGAAGGAAAAGUCAUGCUGUGUACUAUAUUAGGCAGAAUGUCACCAACAGAAUUUCAAGUAACUGAUCUCACCGUGUAAGCCUAAUAUUCUGGAUUUUGCAUGCCCGUAGUAGCUACUUUGAUCUUGGCUGAAAGAAAAAUCACCUUGAUCUUAGACUUCUCCAUGCUAGGCCAUAGCUGUGUAGUUGUAGCCCCCAGGGCAUGCUUUGCACUAUCGUAACCAUAGUUACCUGUUGGUCACUUGAGAAUAAUUUUUUUAACUUCUGCUUCCUAUCCAUUUGUGCAAAAUAGAAACUGUAUUUGUAAGCCAAAUCCCUGAAGUUUUCUUGAGAAUCUCAUUUCCUGGAGACUGUCCUCGGGCCCUUUUAUUUUUGACCUCUAACAUUUCUAGGACCUGUGAAGAAUUUCUUAGGCAGAUUAGUUUCUAUUAACGUGGAUAAUUGAGAGU